rnacentral:rRNA from 1 species
UACCACUUUUAGCAACCGAACUUUUGGCUCCUGGAUYGGUUAAGAACGGAACCAAAUGGGAUUAGUAAUGGGAAAUGGAGAAUUUAAUGGAUCAUCGRAUCUUUGAACGCCCCCUGGGCUUCCUGGUAUUUCGAGGAGCCAGCCCGUUUGAAGGGCAUUAAAUUUUCCA